AGUUUAAUUUAAAGGAGACAAAAAGAGAGUUGCAAUGGAGCUGGAGAGAUGGCGCACGGAAACAAGAAGAAGGAGCAGUGAGCUGAAGCCUAAAAUUCCUUGUUAGAGGGAAGAUCUUCAGGUAUGGCCAUUAUGGGUUUCCUUUUUUUGUUUUUUAUUUUUCAUGUUGAUCCUGCUUCAUUCUUUGUGAUUUCCACAUUGCUUGUUGGGUUCGUAUGGUUUGGUUAUUAUUGGUUUAAUAUUUCAUUUUCUUUUUUAUUCCAAUAAAGAGAUACCUGAAUGUGCUUCAAUUUGUCGUUUCAUUUGUAAGGAGCUUGCUGCUUUAUUCUGAAAACCUUUUCCAUAGCUCAAUCCACUAAUUGUUAAACCUAUGGAUAAAAUAACAAAAUGGGUUCAACAUAUUGGUUAAGUGUUUUAUGCUUUAUUCUUGCUUCUCCUCUCAUGCUCCUCUGUUUUCCUAUGAAUGUGCGCCCCAAACCUUAGAAUCCAUAUAUCCUUGAAGGUCUCUGGCAAAUCAACUGAAAAUGAAAACACAAAAAAAAAAUUAGAAUUUUUCGAAAUGUUUAUGCAUUGUUUUUUUAAAAAAAAAUUAUUUUGGGGCGUCGAGUAUGCACGGAUCUGGAGCUGUGAUGGCUUGGAACGUUCUACACAACCUUAAGGAGCCUUGGCCCGAUCAUGAUCCUCUUGAUCCUUUGACAAGGUUAGAUUUUGGUGUUUCACCAGUUGAUGCUUCAAAACAGAGGGUUUGGUGUUGUAAAAAAUGCAGCUAGAUGAAACUACCUCGCUGCCACCAGCGUUCUGUUUAUGGGAGAUGUAUUGAAGAUGGACCAUCAUUGUUUUUGGGUUGUGAAUUGUGUUGGGGCUUUGAACGACAAAUAUUUCCUUCUUUUCUUGUUUUACACGUCUCUUGAAACAAGCCUUGUGACUUCAUCAUUACUACCACAUUUUAUAGCUAUCAUUAUUACCACAUUUUAUAGCCAUCAUUACUACCACAUUUUAUAGCAUUCUUUAUUGAGGGAGAAAUACCUGGAACACCUUGCACCUCGGGCCUCGCUUUUACAUGGCUACCCUCAUGUACCACUAACAAAACCUACCUGCUAGCAAAUCUCAUAUUUUUUAAUUCUUCAAUAUCAAAGUUUAAUUUAUUUUUUUUAAACGCCAAUUCUUAAAUUUAAAUUUCAAAAUUCCAAUUCUCAAAUAAUUUUAAAAAUUUCAAUUUCUUUCAAAUUUAAUUUCCGAAACGCCAAUUCUUAAAUUUAAUUUUCAAAAUUUCAAUUCUCAAAUAAUUUUCAAAAUUCCAAUUUCUUUCAAAUUUAAUUUCUGAAACUCCAAUUCUUAAAUUUAAUUUUCAAAACUCUAAUUCUCAAAUAAUUUUCAAAAUUCCAAUUUUCAAAUUUAAUUUCCGAAACUCCAAUUCUUACAUUUAAUUUUCAAAACUCCAAUUCUCAAAUAAUUUUUAUUAUUCUAAUUUCUUUCAAAUUUAAUUUUCGAAACUCCAAUUCUUACAUUUAAUUUUCAAAACUCAAAUUCUCAAAUAAUUUUCAAAAUUCCAAUUUCUUUCAAAUUUAAUUUCCGAAACUCCAAUUCUUAGAUUUAAUUUUCAAAAUUUCAAUUAUUAAAUGAUUUUCAAAAUUUCAAUUUGUUUCAAAUUUAAUUUUUGAAACUUCAAUUCUUAAAUUUAAUUUUCAAAAUUUCAAUUCUCAAAUAAUUUUCAAAAUUCUAAUUUCUUUCAAAUUUAAUUUCCGAAACUCCAAUUCUUAAAUUUAAUUUUCAAAAUUUCAAUUCUCAAAUAAUUUUCAAAAUUUCAAUUUUUUUUCAAAUUUAAUUUCCAAAACUCCAAUUCUUAAAUAUAAUUUUCAAAACUCCAAUUCUCAAAUAAUUUUCAAAAUUCCAAUUUCUUUCAAAUUUAAUUUUCAAAAUUCUAAUUUCUUUCAAAUUUAAUUUCCAAAAUUCUAAUUCUUAAAUAUAAUUUUCAAGACUCCAAUUUUUAAAUAAUUUUCUAGACUUCAAUUUUCAAAUAGAUUUAAAAAAUCUAGUUUUCUUUCGAGCCAUUUUAAUUUCACUCCAGUUUUCAAAUAUAUUUUUUUUAUUCUACAACUCUCCAUCCUUUAUUAGGGUUUUUUUUUAGGUCGUCAAAAAUUCUGAUUUUAAUAAGUUUGCUACCAUUUUCAUUUUGGUAUGCACUUGUACAAAUUUUCUUCGAUUUUCAAAUAAUCUUCUGUUUAUCUUAAUUUUAAAUAAGCAAGAAUGAAUUUUUCCUAAUUCCAAAAUAAUGGAAUUUGUGAGACUAAUUCAUGCAAGAUAAAUUGGGCUUUGGUGGGAGCCCCACAUAUGAGUUUUCUCUUCUGAUUGUCAAUUGUUAUACUUAAUGAAUAUUGUUUGAUCUUUAUCUUGCUCUUUGAUAUGCAUGUGAUAAUUUUAUAAUUGAGCUAACCUUGUUUCCAUGAUAACGCACUAUUACUUGUCGCUAAGGUACAAUCUCACUCUCACUUUGCUUAUUCUUAUGCACGAUUCAUUUUAUUAUUUGAUCAUUUCAUUGGUAUCCAUUACUUUCCUUAUCAAUUGCCAUAUUUGUCUCACCUUAUUUAAUAGAGACCCAUUUUUAAGGGCUUAGAGGGGUGCUACGGUCUUUACCAUACCUUCCCAAUAAGUAACCUGACCCCCGAACCCAGACUCGGUUUUUCAUAAACUUGUCUUUUCCAAAUAAGGAGUCACACUUAGAGUUUUCUUUUUUAUUUUGUUUUCCCUUAAAAAAAUAAAACAAAAAUAAGUGGUGAAUCCAAGUUUUUUCUAAAAAUCAAAAUUUUCACAAAUAAAUAGAAAACGAGUUUCACCAUUGAGUAGGAACGCAUCGAGAAAAAUGCGGGGUCCAUAAGAGGUUUCACCAAUUCCCCAGUUGGUAUACACAAAUCUAGCUUAGGAUCAUCCCAUUUAUUUGGGACCACAAGCUUUGAUUCGUAUUCCAUUCGAAAUCGGAAUUUUUAUUGAAAACCGAGAAAGAUGCAAACUGAUCAAAACAUGGUCUCAUAUUUUUAAAGAAAAUGAGAUUUUGAUUCUAAAGACUCUAAAUGAAAUUUAAAAAAAAAAAAAAGAUUUUCAAAGGGAUCUUUUGAGAAAAGUGUUUUGUUUUAAAAAUAAACAAAAAGAACUAGCAUAAGAUCACACAAACACAUCUAGACUGAAAAGAUAACUUAAAAUUGAACUAAAUUGGAAUUAGAAACAUAAACUUUAUCUAACAUGAUUAAAUGAACUAUUGGAUCAAAAUCACCAACACAUCUAAACUAAAGAAUAAAUUAAGAUUAAACUAUUUGGAAUUAAAGACAUGGACUUUAUCUAAUAGGUUUAUUUAAACUAAUGAAUUAAAAUCACUAACACACUUAAACUAAAAGAUAGGUUAAAAUUAAAUUAAUUAAGAACUAAAAAAUGUAAACUUUAUCUAACAGGAUUAUUUAAAAUAAGGAAUUAACAUCACAAAGACAAUUAAAUUAAGAGAAUAAAUUGUAACUAAACUAAACCAGAAUUUAAACAAAAACAUGAUAUCUAAUAGGAUUAAUUAAUCUUAAGAAUCAAAACUUCAAAUAUAUCUGAAUUAAAAAAUAAACUAAAAUUAAACUAAAUUGGAAUUUAAAAAAAACCAUGAAAUUUAUCUAACAAAAUUAAUCAAACAAAUGAAUUAAAAUCAUAAACACAUCCAAAUUAAAAAUAAAAUAAAAUUAAAUUAAAUUAAAACUAAACUAAAUCGGAUUAAAAAAAAAAAAAACUGGAACUCACCUAUCCCGUAUCAUUGAUACCCUCCUGAAUGCAUGCCUGUUGUGCGUGUUUCAGAAAAUCAUCUCUUAGUGUGUGGCUGUAUGUGACAGCCAUCCUAAAAGCAUGGAGUGGACUGGGCUUAUGGCAGCAUGUUGUCCCCUCGUUAGUAGCAUGUCUUCUCCAUUAGCUUGGUGGUAUUCCAUGUGGUUCCUUUCAUGUGGUUGUGUGAGUGGUCUUCUGGGUGGGCUAUCCGUGGCUACGUAACAUGAAGAAAGGUGGUUGUUUUUCCACUGAAUGGCUUGUAAUCCUCUAUAUAUGAGUGACGACAUUCUCGUAUGUGUGUAUUGUCAACCUAGUUUCGGUAUUUACAAUGCCUUAGAACCUUGGUGUGAUGAAUGGGAGACAACCCUUACUAGAUGGUGGCAUGGGAAGUGGAGGUUUGAGCUAUGUUGAUUGCGCUGGGUUUAAUAUCUCUACAUCUCAUGUAAGUCAGAAACUAUCCAGGUAGCUCUUCUAAUAGAGCUUCGACUACAAAAGUUUGC
rnacentral:lncRNA from 1 species